CGAACGGGUGAGUAAUGCGUGACCAACCUGCCCCAUGCUCCAGAAUAGCUCUUGGAAACGGGUGGUAAUGCUGGAUGCUCCAACUUGACGCAUGUCUUGUUGGGAAAGUGUUUAGUGGCAUGGGAUGGGGUCACGUCCUAUCAGCUUGUAGGCGGGGUAAUGGCCCACCUAGGCUUCGACGGGUAGCCGGCCUGAGAGGGCGGACGGCCACAUUGGGACUGAGAUACGGCCCAGACUCCUACGGGAGGCAGCAGGU
rnacentral:rRNA from 1 species